CAGAGACUUUACCGACCACAUGCAAAUUAGAGUCCUGGGUAUGAAUCGUACAGAUAUACUGCCUGUUAGCAGGCUAACUAGUGCCUGAUAGCAGGCUAACUACUGCCUGAUAACAAGCUAACAGCUGCUUGUUAUCAGACUAAACCCUCUAACCUUGAGACAGUCAUCUCGUUGCCGUCGUGCAGCUUUCGUUGUCGAGGUACAUUGGUAGGUAACCGUCGAUCGUGAGGUACAUUUUAUCCACAAAUGUUCAUAAUAAUUCGUAAGUGUUUCUUUAUCCAUUUAAUGUUCACAAUUAUCCAUAAAUGUUCACAAUAUUUCCAAUAGUACACAGUGUCACAGUAAUCCGUAUUUAUCCAUUGAUAUCCGCUACGACUCCCACUGGCCCUCCCAUCAGACACCUCAAAAUGACGUUUUGGUCAGUUUUAAUUUUUG